UUUAUUAGAUAAAGAACCAAUAUAAUUGGUGACUCAUAAUAACUUUACGGAUCACAUUAAAUGUGACAUAUCAUUCAAGUUUCUGACCUAUCAGCUUUAGACGGUAGGGUAUUGGCCUACCGUGGCAAUGACGGGUAACGGGGAAUUAGGGUUCGAUUCCGGAGAGGGAGCCUGAGAAACGGCUACCACAUCUAAGGAAGGCAGCAGGCGCGCAAAUUACCAAAUCCUAAUACAGGGAGGUAGUGACAAGAAAUAACAAUACAGGACUUUUUGGUUUUGUAAUUGGAAUGAGUUAAGUAUAAACCCCUUUACAAGUAUCAAUUGGAGGGCAAGUCUGGUGCCAGCAGCCGCGGUAAUUCCAGCUCCAAUAGCGUAUAUUAAAGUUGUUGCAGUUAAAAAGCUCGUAGUUGGAUUUCUGUUAAUAAUUUAUAUAAAAUAUUUUGAUGAAUAUUUAUAUAAUAUUAACAUAAUUCAUAUUACUAUAUAUUUUAGUAUAUGAAAUUUUACUUUGAGAAAAUUAGAGUGCUUAAAGCAGGCAUAUGCCUUGAAUACUCCAGCAUGGAAUAAUAUUAAAGAUUUUUAUCUUUCUUAUUGGUUCUAAGAUAAGAAUAAUGAUUAAUAGGGACAGUUGGGGGCAUUUGUAUUUAACAGUCAGAGGUGAAAUUCUUAGAUUUGUUAAAGACAAACUAAUGCGAAAGCAUUUGCCAAGGAUGUUUUCAUUAAUCAAGAACGAAAGUUAGGGGAUCGAAGACGAUCAGAUACCGUCGUAGUCUUAACCAUAAACUAUGCCAACUAGAGAUUGGAGGUUGUUCCUUACUCCUU
rnacentral:rRNA from 1 species